AUUUGGACGGAGCUGCUUUAUCAAAUUUUUAAUAUGAUACUUUAUAACCUUAUCAGGCUUUUAACUUGGAUCAUAAUUUACAAAUACGCAUGUACAGCAUUUGAAAUAAAUCUUAGCAUGACAGCUAUGACACCAACAAACGUAGAGCUAAAGUGCGUUUGGACAGGCAUACAAACUAAUGUCGUCGUAUUUUAUCGAAAUACACAACGACGGUUGUCUCCUUCAUCAACAUAUACAAAAUGGGACAACACAGCGUAUUACAACGUUUUGCAAAUAACCGACCAUUCCCCAAAGUGUGACACACAUUCUCCUUUAUUGGUAGUUUGUCAAUGCAAAGUGAAUGCUGCAACAUGUCGCCUGUAUGUCGAACGGAAUGAUUCGACAGUUGACUUUUGGAAGUGUGGAAUACCUGUCAAAGAAAACCUUAAUUUUAGCAACAGUGUAAACAACACUUUUCUAGAAUAUUCCGAAGAACCGAUGUCCACAGUUACUUUGCACAGUGGUACGUGUUUUGUGUAUAUU